GACGAACGCUGGCGGCGUGCUUAACACAUGCAGGUCGAACGGAAAGGCCCUGCUUUUGUGGGGUGCUCGAGUGGCGAACGGGUGAGUAACACGUGAGUAACCUGACCUUGACUUUGGGAUAACUUCAGGAAACUGGGGCUAAUACCGGAUAGGAGCUCCUGCUGCAUGGUGGGGGUUGGAAAGUUUCGGCGGUUGGGGAUGGACUCGCGGCUUAUCAGCUUGUUGGUGGGGUAGUGGCUUACCAAGGCUUUGACGGGUAGCCGGCCUGAGAGGGUGACCGGCCACAUUGGGACUGAGAUACGGCCCAGACUCCUACGGGAGGCAGCAGUGGGGAAUAUUGCACAAUGGGCGGAAGCCUGAUGCAGCAACGCCGCGUGCGGGAUGACGGCCUUCGGGUUGUAAACCGCUUUCGCCUGUGACGAAGCGUGAGUGACGGUAAUGGGUAAAGAAGCACCGGCUAACUACGUG
rnacentral:rRNA from 1 species